rnacentral:rRNA from 1 species
AGUUGUAAUUUGCAGAGGAUGCGUUCGGCGACGCACUGACCGAGUCCCCUGGAAUGGGGCGCCAUAGAGGGUGAGAGCCCCGUAUGGUCGGCUGCUGAACCGGUGUAAUGCUCCUUCGACGAGUCGAGUAGUUUGGGAAUGCUGCUCUAAAUGGGAGGUAAAUUUCUUCUAAAGCUAAAUACCGGCCAGAGACCGAUAGCGCACAAGUAGAGUGAUCGAAAGAUGAAAAGCACUUUGAAAAGAGGGUUAAAAAGCACGUGAAAUUGUUAAAAGGGAAGCGCCUGUGACCAGACUCUGUUCUUGGGGAUCAUCCGUCCUUCUGGGCGGUGCACUCCUCUUGGAUGGGGCCAGCAUCGGUUUUCGCCGGGGGAAAAGGACUUAGGGAACGUGACUCUCCUCGGAGAGUGUUAUAGCCCUCUGUUUGAUGCCCCGGCGGGGACCGAGGACCGCGCUUCGGCAUGGAUGCUGGCGUAAUGGUCACCGGCGACCCGUC